CCUACGGGUGGCAGCAGUGAGGAAUAUUGGUCAAUGGACGAGAGUCUGAACCAGCCAAGUAGCGUGAAUGAUGACUGCCCUAUGGGUUGUAAACUUCUUUUAUAGAGGAAUAAAACGAGGCACGUGUGCAUUUUUGCAUGUACUUUAUGAAUAAGGCUCGGCUAACUCUGUGCCAGCAGCCGCGGUAAUACGGAGGGUCUGAGCGUUAUCCGGAUUUAUUGGGUUUAAAGGGGGCGUAGAUGGAUUGUUAAGUCAGUUGUGAAAGGUUGCGGCUCAACCGUAAAAUUGCAAUGGAUACUGGCAGUCUUGAGUGCAGUUGAGGUAGGCGGAAUUCGUGGUGUAGCGGUGAAAUGCUUAGAUAUUACGAAGAACCCCGAUUGCGAAGGCAGCUUACUAAACUGUAACUGACAUUGAUGCUCGAAAGUGUGGGUAGCAAACAGGAUUAGAUACCCUUGUAGUC
rnacentral:rRNA from 1 species